AUCACAGCAGGAAAUAAUGUGGUGCCUAAAAUAGAAGCAUCAACUGGGAGAGAGGCCGGGGAGUAGGUGGCAUUUGAGGCUCCUGGCGCGUCGUCGGAGGCGUGUAGCUGUAACCCGGCCGGAGAGGGCGCGCGAGGCCCGGGCUGCGCUUCUACCGCGAGGGCGGCGGGGCUGUCCGCGGUCCCCCCACUUCCCUCGUCCCCCGCCCCUGCUUCCCUUGCUCACUGUCCCCCUCACCACCCCCUCAACUCCUCCUCCCUGCCCCUCCCUCCCCAAGGGUCCUCACGCCCCUCCUGCCUGUCCCUGCCGUCCCCCCUCAUCUUUCUCCUCCCUCUCCCUCCCUCUCCCUUCCCCUUCACCCCUCCCUGUGUCUCCCACCUGCGGCCUCCCUCACAGCCGCCUACCUUCCCCACUGCCCCCCGCCCCCCACCCCUCUGCUUUCCUCCAUAGCCAGAGCUGCCUGGAGGCCGUUGAUGCCUUCCUAGGCCUCCAACCAAAGGUCAUUCGAGCAGCAGCAGCCCCCAAGAUGGCAAAAUGGAGACAGGAAAAGAUGAACUUGGACGGGCAAGGUGGCUCAAGCCUGUGAUCCUGUAAUCCUGGCACUCUGGGAGGCUGAGCCGUUGCUCUGCUGAAAACAAGCUCUCUCAUUGUUGCCAGUUUCCAAGGCUUUGCAUCCUCAUCGCCUUCUGGAAUGCGAUGGGCAUUCGUUCAUGCUCAAGUGUACUGCCUACACACGUGCGUGUGCCACUUGUUCCCUCCUGCUUCUCCUCUUGUGUUAACCCCUCCUGGGGUUAAUGGCUUAUGAUUUCCUACCAGAAUUGUAGGAAGAGUAUGUGGCUGAUGUGGUGUCACGAAGGCUUUGUUCCCUGGAGGCUGAAUAUUGUUGGGACAAGCGGUAAGGAAUAGUGAGUAGAGGCCACCAUGGACUAAAAGAAAUGUCAGAAAAAUAUAUAGCUAAUAUUCAUUAAUACUUACUAAAUGCAAGGCUUUGUGCUUUUUCGAGGAAUUAUUUUAUUUAAGUGACAUAAUAACCCUAUGACAUUAGUAUCAUUACCAUUUGACAGAAAACUCAAGGUCAUGUAAGGUUUAGAGCUGAGAUUCUGAUGCACUUAACCAGCGUGCUAACUGCAAAGGAGAAUGGGGUGCUGGUUUCUGCAAGAUAUCUUUUUCCCUCCAAGAUGGAAAUAUCUUUAUAAUUUUUGCGAAUUACAAAAGUAAUAGGUGCUUACUGUGAAGAACUUAAACAACAGAAGUGUAUAAGGAAACAUUUGGGAACAUAUUCUUCUUAGCAAAGUAUCCCAAGAAUGGAAGAAAAAGUAUCCAAUGUACUCAGCCCUACUAUGAAACUAAUUUAUAACUUUCAUAUGAAAGCUGUUACCCAAGUACAGCACAAGAAUAUGGGGAAAGGGGAGAGAAAAGGGAGAGGAGGUGGGGAGGAAUGGUGAAGGGAGGGUAAUUGGUGGGACCACACCUAUGGUGCAUUUACAAAGGUACAUGUGAAAUUUACUAAAUGUAGAAUAUAAACGUUUUAACACAAUAACUAAGAGAAUGCUGUGAAGGCUAUGCUAACUAGUUUGAUAAAAAUCUUUCGAAUUGUAUAUAAAACCGGCACAUUGUAUAUGAUUGCAUUAAUGUACACAGCUAUGAUUUAAUACAAUAAAUAAAUAAAUAAAAGAAAAAUCUGGAAGUCUUUUCCUAUCAGCCCCCUCUUCAUGGACUUUAAUACACAUAACUUUUUUUAAAUUAAAACUUAUUUUUUAUUAUAAUUUUUUGUUAAAUCAUAACUUUGUACAUUGAUGCACCAGAAUGUUUAUUGCAGCCCAAUUCAUAAUAGCCAAGACAUGGAAACACAUAACAUUUUAAGCUGCCUGGCAUCGUACCAUCAUAUUCUUCAGUGGAUAUGCUGGCGCAUGUCCGGGCACAUCUGUCAGUUAUUUCCAUAAUUCUAGCAGUGGAAUUAGUGCGUCAGAGGGCAUAAACAUUUACAUUUGGUCACAUGUUGAAAUGGACAAGUUUUUAUUUUAUAAUUUGAGGCAUAACCUACAUGUGCUUUAAUAAGGGAAUAGUUAAGUAAAUCAUGAAAAAAACUGAGAACAUCUCCUUGCUGGAAUAUUAUGAGCGCAUUAAAAAUGAUGGUUAUAAGGACUCUAAUAAUGUGGUGGAAAUGCUUAGAACAUAAAGUCAAAAUGUUAAAAAGUAACAGAAAAUUAAAUGUAUUAUAUGAUCACAAUUGUAUGAAAAGAAAGCAAAAAGAAAUAGUAGCAAAAUGAUAUCAAUGGUAAUGCAAACAUGUUGAGAUAAAUGUGGUCUUUCUUUUUCAUUCUCUAUUGUGGUUUAUUUUUGUAGUAAAAAUUAUAUUUACUUAAAGACCCAGAAAUAGAUGGAAAUUUAUCAAAAGAUUCUGCUUCCUUUUUCCUCUCUGGAUUUGAGUUUCUACGUCUAUAAAAUGAAGCAGUGAGACUAGAAUUAGAUGACUUCUAAGUUAUCCCAGUUCUGAUAGUCUAUGUUUUCUUAUACAAUCAGGUGUUUUUUUCUGCUGUUGAUUCAAAGCUAAAUUUCAGUCUUCACACUAAAAGUAGAUCAGAUUAGAACUUGUUUUGUGGGUGGUGCCUGUGGCUCAAAGGAGUAGGGCGCUGGCCCCAUAUGCCGGAUAUGGUGGGUUCAAACCCAGCCCCAGCCAAAAAAACUAAAAAAAAAAAAAAAAAAAGAACUUGUUUUUUUUGUAGAGACAGAGUCUCACUUUACUGCCCUUGGUAGAGUGCCGUGGCGUCACACGGCUCACAGCAACCUCCAGCUCUUGGGCUUACAUGAUUCUCUUGCCUCAGCCUCCCGAGCAGCUGGGACUACAGGCGCCCGCCACAACGCCCGGCUAUUUUUUUGUUGCAGUUUGGCCAGGGCUGGGCUUGAACCCGCCACCCUCGGCAUAUGGGGCCGGCGCCCUACUCACUGAGCCACAGGCGCCGCCCAAAGAACUUGUUUUGUGACCAUUAUUGGUUUAGGCUGUUCUUACAUCUGUCAAAAUAUCAACAUUAAUUUGAAGAAGAAAGCAAUGUUCCCACUGUGAAGUAGAGGGUCUUAAGGCUUGGAAGUGCUGGGAUGAAAUGUUUAGAGCAGUGACUUCUUCAUUCAUCCCAACUUUGAUGGGCUGUGUCCUAGCUGGACUCCGUCAUUCCCCCUUUUUCAACCAGGAUACUGAUGGUGUGUGAGGCUUUUCCACAGCUGUACAUUGUUCACUCUUCUGCAGUGACAAGGAUUGGAUGGAGAAUGUGUUUCCUCUGGUGGGUGGAGAACUCUGAAGGCAGAGACUGGGUUUUUAUUCCAGUAUCUUAACAGUGAACAAAUGAAUGAACAAGUGACUCAAGUGACUGAGUGUGAGAGUGAAGAAAGCCCAUAACAUGGAAGACCCAGAAGGAUUUCACUGAACCUAUGAAAUAAGUGAAGCUGGAAGUCAGGUGAAACACGUUGUGAGCUCGUUGAUCUGGAGGAGUUACUGUGUGUGUGUGUGCGCGCAUGCACAUGUGCAGGGAAGGGGCAAGACUGGAAGAAUGCCAUUCUGCUGGCACAGCCUUCGUCAGAGCCCUGAAAGGGGCUGAGUGGGUUCUGACUCAGCUCCAUGACUCACUCACUGUGUUGCUGUCUCCAUCCUCCAGGCACAUCCUCUAAACCAUUUCAGUUCAGCCUCAAGUGGAGGAGAUGAGAUCUGGUCCAGCACCUCCGGAUGAGUCACCUGGCUGGGCUGAAAGGAGGGAGCCAAAGCCCCACAGUCCUGCACACACACCUCCCAUCUCCCAGGGGUUGUCAUGCAGACCCAGACCUCAUGAGAAGGUUAUGACUGCUCCAGUAAUGACACCCUCACCCCCCACAAAAGGCAUUACCUGCCCAUCCACACGUCUCUGCUCAAUGUCUUAAUUUCCCUGGUCCUUUCACAUAGUUGUCCCCUGUGCUUCUUGGGGGCAUCUGAGAUCAGCUUAUACAGAGGAUUAUAGGGCUCUCUUAUUCUAUUCUUCACCUCUCACAAAAGUUUUUCAGUUUACAAAAUAGUUUUACAUUCCUUUUCUCAUUUGAUUCUCUCUGAGACCCUAAGAAGCCUGGCAGGGCAGUGAAUAUCACUAUUCUACAGGGAUGGACAUGGAAGGUGGGCCCCUCAGUGCAAGCUCUGGCUCAGGGUGAAAUGAUCUGAGAAGACCCUUGGUUUUUCCCUCGGUCAUGUUCACUCUCUUCUUUCUACUCAAUGCUGGGUUCCCUGGGUCACCACCCAGGAAACGAGGGCACAGCCUUGGCAAGCAACCAGCAAACAGCCUCUCAGGUGAGUUCCUGGAACCUACAGUGGGGUGUGGCUACAGGCUCUGGAAAGGGGACAGGCCACAUGAGCCCUUUUGUCCCUGGAGGGUUGCAGAGGGAAUAGGCUUUCCAGAUAAAAUAUGGGAUGCCCAGUUAAAUUUUAAUUUCAGAUGAACAAUGAAUAAUUUUUAGUUUAAGUAUAUCCCAAAUGUUCUAUGGGACAUAUUUUAAAACUAUCUGAUAUGUAUAUGAAAUUCAAAUCUAGGGUGGCGCCUGUGGCUCAGUCGGUAGCGCACCGGCCCCAUAUACCGAGGGUGGCGGGUUCAAACCUGGCCCCGGCCAAACUGCAACCAAAAAAUAGCCGGGCGUUGUGGCGGGCGCCUGUAGUCCCAGCUACUCGGGAGGCUGA